rnacentral:rRNA from 1 species
GUCGAGCGCCGUAGCAAUACGGAGCGGCAGACGGGAGAGUAACACGUGGGAACGUGCCCUUCAGUUCGGAACAACCCAGGGAAACUUGGGCUAAUACCGGAUACGUCCGUAAGGAGAAAGAUUUAUCGCUGAAGGAUCGGCCCGCGUCUGAUUAGCUAGUUGGUGAGGUAAUGGCUCACCAAGGCGACGAUCAGUAGCUGGUCUGAGAGGAUGAUCAGCCUCACUGGGACUGAGACACGGCCCAGACUCCUACGGGAGGCAGCAGUGGGGAAUAUUGGACAAUGGGCGCAAGCCUGAUCCAGCCAUGCCGCGUGGGUGAUGAAGGCCCUAGGGUUGUAAAGCCCUUUCGGCGGGGAAGAUAAUGACGGUACCCGCAGAAGAAGCCCCGGCUAACUUCGUGCCAGCAGCCGCGGUAAUACGAAGGGGGCUAGCGUUGCUCGGAAUCACUGGGCGUAAAGCGCACGUAGGCAGCUUUUUAAGUCAGGGGUGAAAUCCUGGAGCUCAACUCCAGAACUGCCUUUGAUACUGAGAGGCUUGAGUCCGGGAGAGGUGAGUGGAACUGCGAGUGUAGAGGUGAAAUUCGUAGAUAUUCGCAAGAACACCAGCGGCGAAGGCGGCUCACUGGCCCGGUACUGACGCUGAGGUGCGAAAGCGUGGGGGGCAAACAGGAUUAGAUACCCUGGUAGUCCACGCCGUA